rnacentral:lncRNA from 1 species
AAAAAGAAAAUUCUUCCGCAACAAAAUCCGGCGACUUCGGUCGCCGACGAGCGUGCACAUCGGCACGGGAAGGAAGGGGGAGAAGAGAGGAAGAGGAGGAGGCUUACCUCCGUUGCCGGCGAAGCUUUUCCGGCGAGAAAUUGGACGGCACAGCGACGGGUCUCCGUGAGGAAUUUCUGGCGAUUGCCGCCGUUUUGCCCCGGAAUUUCUCGAUGAGAGGAGAGAGGAGGGUUCUCCUCCUUAAAUAGAGCCGGAGGGAACUCAUCUCCGACUCUGAUUGGG